CACUGAGCAGCACAGGAAAUGAUUCCCCUGAGGCCUGAACCUGGCCUUGGGUGAGGAGGUCCUGCCAGUGCCUCUGAGACCCAGAAACUAGAGACUCAGUCCAUAGAAGCAGAGGCCAGGCUGGUGACCCCGGAGAUGGAAGGAGGGACCCCCUUACCCUCAUCAUCACCUGCCCCUCAUGG
rnacentral:lncRNA from 1 species